rnacentral:lncRNA from 1 species
GUUUUUUUGCCAAAAAAAAAAAAAAAUAUAAAAUCUACUUUUGUCCAUAUUGAAAAGGGAUGAUUGAACUUUUUCAGCCUGGAGGCAGUCUGGUUUUUAUCAGUGGUAUAAAUAUUGCCACAAAGCUAUUCCAUUGGUUUCAAUUUUAUUUACCAAUUAAAUGCACACACUCCAGUCACAAAAAUAUAAAUUCACAUUGGGAAUAACAGGUUUUACUUGGAUACCUAAAAUUAGAUUACUACAUCAAAUGGUCUUUGUAGGGCCAAUAAGACAUUUUUUGCCUUCAAUUACUAAUUGUAGAUACUAUAUUAAAGCAGAUCCCAUAAGGCCAAGCCUGUAGCUGUCAGAGUGGUAUUCUGUAAGAGACUCUGGCUGAUUACUCAUUUCUAGGUUUGCUAUCUUCCUAGCCCAAUACUAUGUUCACUAAAGAGCAAGAAUUAUGAGCUUCAAAGUUAUUUCCUUUAAAACCAUAGAACAAAAAUUCAGGGAAGGAAAAAAUGCAUAUGUGUGUGUUUUCUCUAACACAAGAGAAUUCUCAUCCAGGGUAAAUACUGCCUUUUUAUAUAGCUAUGAGGGGAUAUAAAAUUAAAAAUUACCCCAUGCAAAGCACAUACAUUAAUCAAACCCCGUGCAACCUGUGCCAUGGAAAGAGUAAGAGGAGCAGGGUAAAAUGCAUUGUAUUUCACACUGAUCAAAAUAAAUUGUUCCAUGUCUGUUCAGCUAAAUCAUACAUGCCAGUUUCUGAAGGCAAAAUGAAGUAAUGACACUGUAAUGAACAUUUAAAAUUAUUUUUCAUUUUUCUUAUGAUCUCCAAUCUUUGAAAUGGUUUGUUAAAUCCCCCAAAGCUACAUAUAAAAUGAACUUUUGAUAGUUGAGGUUACGGACUCAUUCAUGCGAUGGAGCCAGGGUUCCAGAAUGUCUCUAUUCAUUUUCGCAGGAGCAGCACUCUGCAGUCUUUCCUGCUCUGCUGAACACUCCUAAUUUUGAUUCAUUCGGUUGGCAUUUUAACCUGAAGGUAUUAAAAAAAAAAAAAAAAAAGGGAUGUUGCAAAGUCUUCAAUAGCUUGUUGGGACUAUGCCAUCCUGGCCAAAACUUUAGGAGUGACUUUAUUCAUAAUUCUUCACAAUUCCAUCCCUUGGUUUGGGCCUACAAUAAAGAGAAUAACAAAGCUCUAAUCUUCAACAGUUUAUUUGACAAUCUAAGAGGCACUGCAUACAUACUAAUAACCAUGAUAUUUCACAAAUUUUACUUGCAUGCACUUCACAGGCUUUAUGGAUGUGUCAGUGAUGCUUACUGUGGUUUUGGAGCAGAUAACUUGGUUAGCCACUACUCCCUCAGCUACAGAACAAUUCUUGUCCAGGAAGCCUUCGUGUUUCCAAGGGCUGAAGGACAAGAAUGUGCAAAAAGAACAGGUAAGAUCAAGACCCUGUCUUCAGCAGGACUCAAAUGAGGUUGAGAAAGUGUCAGACUGAGUUACACCCAUUUUUCUCAUCUUUGUAAACAGGGAAAUGCUUCUACCAGAAGCUGGUCCCCACUGAGACCUUCUCUACUCAAUACCAGUAACCACUUGGGAAGCAAAGGGCAGCUAAAUUAAACUGCUCCACAGGCUGUGGUAAUAUUACCAGUGACAGACCCUGUGGGUCCUGUUGUGUGACACCUUUGUGGUGCCACAAAGCACAGAAGGCCUCAAAAAAACAACCUUGGGUAAUUUCCACAGGGCAGGAGUUCCUCCACUCACCCCACUCCUCCAAAAAUGCGAUACUGCAUUGCCCAUUUCCCUGGUCAGACACGCUUCUUCUUCAUUCAUUUUAGGAAUGUGUUCUGGAAAACCCAAAGCAUUUCUUCCACACUACCUCAGCUUUCCAAGGAAUGAAGAAGAGAUUCUUUUUCCUAGCUCGCUCAGUUGCACCCGGAUGCUUCCUAGAAAGUGUAAAAAGAAGCAUCUGUGUCCCCAGCCAACCUCCGAGGACACCUGGUCAGUGCAACUGUUCAGGCAUUAGGGUUUCUAUUUUGCACGCCUCUGGCCAAAUGUUCAAGACAACAUACUCGUGAUGGCACGCUCAUG